rnacentral:misc_RNA from 1 species
AAAUAAGCUAAAAAAUUUUAUUAGACGGAAUAAGAAAUGAAAGAAGGACAAGCUCAAGGCCACAUCCCAUCCAACAACAGAACCCAAAACAACCCUACGAAGAAGCAAAACCAUAAAUAAAGCAAAAGACAGAACACAGAGAAGGAAAACAACAUAAGCAAGGCCAUCAAGAAAUCCAGAGAUUUGCCUUCAGGAAAAUGCAGAUAAAGCACACACCAACUUCAACAAUUAGAUGCUGAUGAAGUUUAG